CUUGCUUACCUAUAAGAGGUCCAGCCUGCCCAGUGACUCUGUUCAACGGCCGCGGUAUCCUAACCGUGCGAAGGUAGCGUAAUCACUUGUUCUUUAAAUGAGGACUAGUAUGAAUGGCACCACGAAGGUUAUACUGUCUCCUCUCUCUAAUCAGUGAAACUAAUCUCCCCGUGAAGAAGCGGGGAUAAUUUUAUAAGACGAGAAGACCCUAUGGAGCUUUAAACUAAGAGUCAACUGCCUUCCACCCCCCCAAAUUCCAGAGUACUAACUUAUAUCAAGGCUCUCUGAUCUCUAGUUUUAGGUUGGGGUGACCACGGAGUAAAAACCAACCUCCGCAAUGAACAGGGAUCUUCCCUUAACCCAGGGCCACAACCCUAAGAAUCAACACAUUGACAUCAAUUGACCCAAGAAUUUGAUCAAUGAAC
rnacentral:rRNA from 1 species